GGGCCUGUGGUGUAUGCAGUAACAUACCGUUGUUGCCACUCGGUGAAACGGGUGCAAAUCCCGUCGGGUCCA
rnacentral:tRNA from 1 species